GGCAGGAUGGCCGAGUGGUUAUGGCGCCAGAUUCGGUAUCUGUUGGGUUCAACUCACGCGGGUUCGAAUCCUAGUUCUGUCA